AUAAUAAGAAAAAAAAGAAACGUAAAUAACAAUAUGUCACCCCAACUCCGUUGAGGGUGCCAUAAUAACUAGAAUUGCCAUUGCAAGCAAUAGCGGAUGUCACCCUGGUCCACCAAUUGCCACAAAACAGCAGCCAUGGUAACGGCAGCCAUUUUGGAAAUUUUAAAGUUGAAUGCCGCAUCUAGAUUUACAAGUCGUAACGUUUCAUACAUUUUGAAGAAUUUCAAAAAUUUUGUUAUUUUUGAACAGUUUCCAUGGCAACAUUUGAAAAUUCCAAAGUCAUACUGCUGCUUCAUAUUGUGCUCCCCAUAAUAUUAUACCAUCAUAUAACAUUUAAUGGCCGUAGAAUUAAUUUAACACUAAUGUUCUGGAAUGUUCCAUGAAAGUUUUCAUAUUUUUGCUGUUACCAUGGCAAUGGCAGCCAUCUUGGAAAUGCCAACCCCCGAUUGCACAUCUGCACAUGGGGGUUAACAUUAUGGUAAAGUUCCAUCAGCAUUGGUCCAUGCAAUCGAGAAAUAGUCUGGACAAAAAAGUGUGGAAUAAUAAUUAUAA
rnacentral:lncRNA from 1 species